rnacentral:rRNA from 1 species
AUUGAACGCUGGCGGCAUGCCUUACACAUGCAAGUCGAACGGUAACAGGUCUUCGGAUGCUGACGAGUGGCGAACGGGUGAGUAAUGCAUCGGAACGUGCCCAGUAGUGGGGGAUAGCCCGGCGAAAGCCGGAUUAAUACCGCAUACGACCUGAGGGUGAAAGGGGGGGAUCGCAAGACCUCUCGCUAUUGGAGCGGCCGAUGUCAGAUUAGCUAGUUGGUGGGGUAAAGGCCUACCAAGGCAACGAUCUUGAGUUGGUCUGAGAGGACGACCAGCCAAACUGGGACUGAGACACGGCACAGACUCCUACGGGAGGCAGCAGUGGGGAAUUUUGGACAAUGGGCGCAAGCCUGAUCCAGCAAUGCCGCGUGCAGGAAGAAGGCCUUCGGGUUGUAAACUGCUUUUGUCAGGGAAGAAAUCUUCUGGGUUAAUACCUCGGGAGGAUGACGGUACCUGAAGAAUAAGCACCGGCUAACUACGUGCCAGCAGCCGCCGUAAAAC